rnacentral:rRNA from 1 species
GAGUUGAUCGUGGCUCAGAUUGAACGCUGGCGGCAUGCCUUACACAUGCAAGUCGAACGGCAGCACGGGAGCUUGCUCCUGGUGGCGAGUGGCGAACGGGUGAGUAAUGCAUCGGAACGUAUCCUGGAGUGGGGGAUAACGUAGCGAAAGUUACGCUAAUACCGCAUAUUCUGUGAGCAGGAAAGCGGGGGACCUUCGGGCCUCGCGCUCUUGGAGCGGCCGAUGUCGGAUUAGCUAGUUGGUGAGUAAAGGCUCACCAAGGCGACGAUCCGUAGCAGGUCUGAGAGGAUGAUCUG